UACGUAGGGGGCGAGCGUUGUCCGGAAUUACUGGGCGUAAAGGGCGCCUAGGCGGUUUUUUAAGUCCGCUGUGAAAGACCGAGGCUCAACCUCGGGGUGUCAGCGGAGACUGGAAGACUGGAGUCUCGGAGAGGAGUGCGGAAUACCUGGUGUAGCGGUGGAAUGCGUAGAUAUCAGGUGGAACACCGAUGGCGAAGGCAGCACUCUGGCCGAAGACUGACGCUGAAGCGCGAAAGCUGGGGGAGCGAACGGG
rnacentral:rRNA from 2 species